ACAUACAAGUACCAUCGUUAGCAUGCUUAAUGUCCACACUGACAACAAGGCUGAGUUAAGGAGAGUUGGGCCUGGUUAGUACUUGGAUGGGAGACCACCUAGGAAGACCAGGUGUUGUAGGUG
rnacentral:rRNA from 1 species